rnacentral:rRNA from 1 species
AUUGAACGCUAGCGGGAUGCUUUACACAUGCAAGUCGAACGAGUGGCGGACGGGUGAGUAAUAUAUCGGAACGUGCCCAGUAGCGGGGGAUAACUAGGCGAAAGAGUGGCUAAUACCGCAAACGAUUGGUGCGGCCGUUGUCGGAUUAGCUAGUUGGUGGGGUAAAGGCUCGCCAAGGCCACGAUCCGUAGCUGGUUUGAGAGGACGACCAGCCACACUGGGACUGAGACACGGCCCAGACUCCUACGGGAGGCAGCAGUGGGGAAUUUUGGACAAUGGGGGAAACUCUGAUCCAGCCAUCCCGCGUGUAUGAGAAGGCCUUCGGGUUGUAAAGUACUGUUGGCAGAGAAGCGGUAUCUGCAGAAUAAGCACCGGCUAACUACGUGCCAGCAGCCGCGGUAAUUC